AGCCAGACUCCUACGGGAGGCAGCAGUGGGGGAUAUUGCACAAUGGGGGGAACCCUGAUGCAGCGACGCCGCGUGGGUGAAGGAGCGUUUCGGCGCGUAAAGCCCUAUCGGCAGGGAAGAAGGAGGACGGUACCUGACUAAGAAGCCCCGGCUAACUACGUGCCAGCAGCCGCGGUAAUACGUAGGGGGCAAGCGUUAUCCGGAUUUACUGGGUGUAAAGGGGGCGCAGACGGCAGCGCAAGCCAGGAGUGAAAGCCCGGGGCCCAACCCUGGGACUGCUUUUGAAACUGCCGGGCUGGAGUGCAGGAGAGGUAAGCGGAAUUCCUAGUGUAGCGGUGAAAUGCGUAGAUAUUAGGAGGAACACCAGUGGCGAAGGCGGCUUACUGGACGGUAACUGACGUUGAGGCUCGAAAGCGUGGGGAGCAAACAGGAUUAGAUACCCCCGUACUA
rnacentral:rRNA from 1 species